rnacentral:tRNA from 1 species
AGUCUGAUAGCUCAGUUGGUUAGAGUACGUGUCUGAUAUACACGCGGUCAAUGGUUCGAAUCCAUUUCAGACUA